rnacentral:rRNA from 1 species
UAGUCAUAUGCUUGUCUCAAAGAUUAAGCCAUGCAUGUCUAAGUAUACGCAAAUUAUACUGUGAAACUGCGAAUGGCUCAUUAAAUCAGUUAUAGUUUAUUUGAUGUUUCUUGCUACAUGGAUAACUGUGGUAAUUCUAGAGCUAAUACAUGCGUAAAAAGCCCCGACUUCUGGAAGGGGUGUAUUUAUUAGAUAAAAACCAUCCUCCUCGGAGUUUGGUGAUUCAUAAUAACUUCUCGAAUCGCACGGCCUUGUGCUGGCGAUGCUUCAUUCAAAUAUCUGCCCUAUCAACUGUCGAUGGUAGGAUAGAGGCCUACCAUGGUUGCAACGGGUAACGGGGAAUAAGGGUUCGAUUCCGGAGAGGGAGCCUGAGAAACGGCUACCACAUCCAAGGGAGGCAGCAGGCGCGCAAAUUACCCAAUCCCGACACGGGGAGGUAGUGACAAUAAAUAACAAUGCAGGGCCCUUUUGGGUCUUGUAAUUGGAAUGAGUACAAUUUAAAUCCCUUAACGAGGAACGAUU